AAAUUCCGCUAUUCGGAAAAGGCUAGCAACCUGCCGAAGCACCGAGUCAUGGGCGGUUGCUCGUAAGGGUAAUGGUUAAGCGUUGACAGGGGAAUGCAUAGGCUCGGUAUAGAGCUCCGAAAUCAAACUUAAGAACGCCGACCUUGUUGGAUGGUGGGGAAGGCAACACUGCUUUUAGCGUUAUUGCGAGCAACUAAGCAGGAUCUCCGGAGUCAUGAGACCC
rfam:Teredinibacter turnerae T7901, complete genome.